UAGUGGCGAACGGGUGAGUAACACGUGGGCAAUCUGCCCUGCACUCUGGGACAAGCCCUGGAAACGGGGUCUAAUACCGGAUAAUACCUGCCGAGGCAUCUCGGUGGGUUGAAAGCUCCGGCGGUGCAGGAUGAGCCCGCGGCCUAUCAGCUUGUUGGUGGGGUGAUGGCCUACCAAGGCGACGACGGGUAGCCGGCCUGAGAGGGCGACCGGCCACACUGGGACUGAGACACGGCCCAGACUCCUACGGGAGGCAGCAGUGGGGAAUAUUGCACAAUGGGCGAAAGCCUGAUGCAGCGACGCCGCGUGAGGGAUGACGGCCUUCGGGUUGUAAACCUCUUUCAGCAGGGAAGAAGCGCAAGUGACGGUACCUGCAGAAGAAGCGCCGGCUAACUACGUGCCAGCAGCCGCGGUAAUACGUAGGGCGCAAGCGUUGUCCGGAAUUAUUGGGCGUAAAGAGCUCGUAGGCGGCUUGUUGCGUCGGAUGUGAAAGCCCGGGGCUUAACCCCGGGUCUGCAUUCGAUACGGGGCAGGCUAGAGUUCGGUAGGGGAGAUCGGAAUUCCU
rnacentral:rRNA from 1 species